GACGAACGCUGGCGGCAUGCCUAAUACAUGCAAGUCGAGCGAACAGAUGAAGUGCUUGCACUUCUGACGUUAGCGGCGAACGGGUGAGCAACACGUAAGGAAUCUACCUAUAAGCGGGGGAUAACAUUCGGAAACGGGUGCUAAUACCGCAUAAUAUCUUCUUCCGCAUGGAAGAAGAUUGAAAGACGGCUCUGCUGUCACUUAUAGAUGACCUUGCGGUGCAUUAGUUAGUUGGUGGGGUAACGGCCUACCAAGACGAUGAUGCAUAGCCGACCUGAGAGGGGGAGCGGCCACAUUGGGACUGAGACACGGCCCAAACUCCUACGGGAGGCAGCAGUAGGGAAUCUUCCGCAAUGGGCGAAAGCCUGACGGAGCAAUGCCGCGUGAGUGAAGAAGGCCUUCGGGUCGUAAAACUCUGUUAUAAGAGAAGAACAAACUGUAGAGUAACUGCUACAGUCUUGACGGUAUCUUAUCAGAAAGCCACGGCUAACUACGUGCCAGCAGCCGCGGUAA
rnacentral:rRNA from 1 species